UUAAGCGACUAAGCGUACACGGUGGAUGCCCUGGCAGUCAGAGGCGAUGAAGGACGUGCUAAUCUGCGAUAAGCGUCGGUAAGGUGAUAUGAACCGUUAUAACCGGCGAUUUCCGAAUGGGGAAACCCAGUGUGAUUCGUCACACUAUCAUUAACUGAAUCCAUAGGUUAAUGAGGCGAACCGGGGGAACUGAAACAUCUAAGUACCCCGAGGAAAAGAAAUCAACCGAGAUUCCCCCAGUAGCGGCGAGCGAACGGGGAGCAGCCCAGAGCCUGAAUCAGUGUGUGUGUUAGUGGAAGCGUCUGGAAAGGCGUGCGAUACAGGGUGACAGCCCCGUACACAAAAAUGCACAUAUUGUGAGCUCGAUGAGUAGGGCGGGACACGUGGUAUCCUGUCUGAAUAUGGGGGACCAUCCUCCAAGGCUAAAUACUCCUGACUGACCGAUAGUGAACCAGUACCGUGAGGGAAAGGCGAAAAGAACCCCGGCGAGGGGAGUGAAAAAGAACCUGAAACCGUGUACGUACAAGCAGUGGGAGCACGCUUAGGCGUGUGACUGCGUACCUUUUGUAUAAUGGGUCAGCGACUUAUAUUCUGUAGCAAGGUUAACCGAAUAGGGGAGCCGAAGGGAAACCGAGUCUUAACUGGGCGUUAAGUUGCAGGGUAUAGACCCGAAACCCGGUGAUCUAGCCAUGGGCAGGUUGAAGGUUGGGUAACACUAACUGGAGGACCGAACCGACUAAUGUUGAAAAAUUAGCGGAUGACUUGUGGCUGGGGGUGAAAGGCCAAUCAAACCGGGAGAUAGCUGGUUCUCCCCGAAAGCUAUUUAGGUAGCGCCUCGUGAAUUCAUCUCCGGGGGUAGAGCACUGUUUCGGCAAGGGGUCAUCCCGACUUACCAACCCGAUGCAAACUGCGAAUACCGGAGAAUGUUAUCACGGGAGACACACGGCGGGUGCUAACGUCCGUCGUGAAGAGGGAAACAACCCAGACCGCCAGCUAAGGUCCCAAAGUCAUGGUUAAGUGGGAAACGAUGUGGGAAGGCCCAGACAGCCAGGAUGUUGGCUUAGAAGCAGCCAUCAUUUAAAGAAAGCGUAAUAGCUCACUGGUCGAGUCGGCCUGCGCGGAAGAUGUAACGGGGCUAAACCAUGCACCGAAGCUGCGGCAGCGACACUAUGUGUUGUUGGGUAGGGGAGCGUUCUGUAAGCCUGUGAAGGUGUACUGUGAGGUAUGCUGGAGGUAUCAGAAGUGCGAAUGCUGACAUAAGUAACGAUAAAGCGGGUGAAAAGCCCGCUCGCCGGAAGACCAAGGGUUCCUGUCCAACGUUAAUCGGGCAGGGUGAGUCGACCCCUAAGGCGAGGCCGAAAGGCGUAGUCGAUGGGAAACAGGUUAAUAUUCCUGUACUUGGUGUUACUGCGAAGGGGGGACGGAGAAGGCUAUGUUGGCCGGGCGACGGUUGUCCCGGUUUAAGCGUGUAGGCUGGUUUUCCAGGCAAAUCCGGAAAACUAAGGCUGAGGCGUGAUGACGAGGCACUACGGUGCUGAAGCAACAAAUGCCCUGCUUCCAGGAAAAGCCUCUAAGCAUCAGGUAACAUCAAAUCGUACCCCAAACCGACACAGGUGGUCAGGUAGAGAAUACCAAGGCGCUUGAGAGAACUCGGGUGAAGGAACUAGGCAAAAUGGUGCCGUAACUUCGGGAGAAGGCACGCUGAUAUGUAGGUGAAGUCCCUCGCGGAUGGAGCUGAAAUCAGUCGAAGAUACCAGCUGGCUGCAACUGUUUAUUAAAAACACAGCACUGUGCAAACACGAAAGUGGACGUAUACGGUGUGACGCCUGCCCGGUGCCGGAAGGUUAAUUGAUGGGGUCAGCGCAAGCGAAGCUCUUGAUCGAAGCCCCGGUAAACGGCGGCCGUAACUAUAACGGUCCUAAGGUAGCGAAAUUCCUUGUCGGGUAAGUUCCGACCUGCACGAAUGGCGUAAUGAUGGCCAGGCUGUCUCCACCCGAGACUCAGUGAAAUUGAACUCGCUGUGAAGAUGCAGUGUACCCGCGGCAAGACGGAAAGACCCCGUGAACCUUUACUAUAGCUUGACACUGAACAUUGAGCCUUGAUGUGUAGGAUAGGUGGGAGGCUUUGAAGUGUGGACGCCAGUCUGCAUGGAGCCGACCUUGAAAUACCACCCUUUAAUGUUUGAUGUUCUAACGUUGACCCGUAAUCCGGGUUGCGGACAGUGUCUGGUGGGUAGUUUGACUGGGGCGGUCUCCUCCUAAAGAGUAACGGAGGAGCACGAAGGUUGGCUAAUCCUGGUCGGACAUCAGGAGGUUAGUGCAAUGGCAUAAGCCAGCUUGACUGCGAGCGUGACGGCGCGAGCAGGUGCGAAAGCAGGUCAUAGUGAUCCGGUGGUUCUGAAUGGAAGGGCCAUCGCUCAACGGAUAAAAGGUACUCCGGGGAUAACAGGCUGAUACCGCCCAAGAGUUCAUAUCGACGGCGGUGUUUGGCACCUCGAUGUCGGCUCAUCACAUCCUGGGGCUGAAGUAGGUCCCAAGGGUAUGGCUGUUCGCCAUUUAAAGUGGUACGCGAGCUGGGUUUAGAACGUCGUGAGACAGUUCGGUCCCUAUCUGCCGUGGGCGCUGGAGAACUGAGGGGGCUGCUCCUAGUACGAGAGGACCGGAGUGGACGCAUCACUGGUGUUCGGGUUGUCAUGCCAAUGGCACUGCCCGGUAGCUAAAUGCGGAAGAGAUAAGUGCUGAAAGCAUCUAAGCACGAAACUUGCCCCGAGAUGAGUUCUCCCUGACUCCUUGAGAGUCCUGAAGGAACGUUGAAGACGACGACGUUGAUAGGCCGGGUGUGUAAGCGCAGCGAUGCGUUGAGCUAACCGGUACUAAUGAACCGUGAGGCUUAACCUU
rnacentral:rRNA from 1 species